rnacentral:rRNA from 1 species
GUGGGGAAUCUUGCGCAAUGGGCGAAAGCCUGACGCAGCCAUGCCGCGUGAAUGAUGAAGGUCUUAGGAUUGUAAAAUUCUUUCACCGGGGACGAUAAUGACGGUACCCGGAGAAGAAGCCCCGGCUAACUUCGUGCCAGCAGCCGCGGUAAUACGAAGGGGGCUAGCGUUGCUCGGAAUUACUGGGCGUAAAGGGCGCGUAGGCGGACAGUUUAGUCAGAGGUGAAAGCCCAGGGCUCAACCUUGGAAUUGCCUUUGAUACUGGCUGUCUUGAGUACGGGAGAGGUGAGUGGAACUCCGGGUGUAGAGGUGAAAUUCGUAGAUAUUCGGAAGAACACCAGUGGCGAAGGCGACUCACUGGCCCGUUACUGACGCUGAGGCGCGAAAGCGUGGGGAGCAAACAGGAUUAGAUACCCUAGUAGUCC